GAGUUUGAUCGUGGCUCAGGAUGAACGCUGGCGGCGUGCCUAAUACAUGCAAGUCGAACGAGGAGUACUUACUUCGGUUUUUACUCCUAGUGGCGAACGGGUGAGUAACGCGUUGGUGACCUGCCCCGAAGCGGGGGACAACAGUUCGAAAGAACUGCUAAUACCCCAUGUGGUCUUACUGGUUAGAGGCUGUAUGACUAAAGGAGUAAUCCACUUCGGGAGGGGCCUGCGUCCCAUCAGCUAGUUGGUAAGGUAACGGCCUACCAAGGCAAAGACGGGUAGGGGGCCUGAGAGGGUGGCCCCCCACCACUGGC
rnacentral:rRNA from 1 species